rnacentral:rRNA from 1 species
CCAGCCACCGCGGUUACACGAUUAACCCCAGCUAAUAGGGAUCGGCGUAGAGGGUGUUUAAGAUCUAACAUAAUAAAGCUAAACUCCACCUAAACUGUAAAACCCUAGCUAAUGUAAAAUAAACUACGAAAGUGGCUUUAAAGCUUCUGAACACACAAUAGCCAAGACCCAAACUGGGAUUAGACACCCCACUAUGCUUGGCCCUAAACCUCAGUAGUUAGAUAACAAAACUACUCGCCAGAAUACUACAAGCAACAGCUUAAAACUCAAAGGACUUGACGGUGCUUUACAUCCCCCUAGAGGAGCCUGUUCCGUAAUCGAUAAACCCCGAUCCACCCUACCCUCUCUUGCUCAGCCUAUAUACCGCCAUCUUCAGCAAACCCUAAUGAGGGCCACAAAGUGAGCGCAAACGCCGUCGCCGCGAAUACGUUAGGUC